UGAAUGCGGUGCAUGCGAUCCCUCUACCAGCCAUGGCUAGAUGCAAAUGCCCAUGCGCGAAAGACACACGCUUUUGGAAUUUGCGGCAAUGAAUGUUAAAAACAAAAUGUAUCGAUUACCUUAGGAACAUUGUAUUUAGAGAGGCCAAGACAAGCAGUUAAAAGUGACAUAAACGUAAAUGAGACAGAAAGUUGAGAGCUCGUUCAAGCAGAUAAACCGAAAUGUUGUGUAAUGAGAUGUCUAAAAUUUGUUGGAUAGACGCUAAACGCUUGCACUAAUGGAUUAAACGGACAUAGGUGUACUGGACACUCAACGCUCACGAGACGACAAUUUCCUUUUGAUGCUUCGCCCGAGGGCUGGAUUAACCUGCCGCCCGUACACCACCUCCCCUCAAGUGGCUGAAUCCCUAUUGCUUAUCUGUCUCACCACAGCGAGGUCAGGCGUGGACUACAGCAAAGCAGAUGCAGCGUGUGGAUGGAUGGAACAAACUGCUCAUUACUGCAACACUGAACAUGUUGUGUUUCCUGUGCUGUGUCGUAUGCAGUUAUCAAAAAUGGGACCCUUUUAUAUUCUGGAAGAUGUGGGCUCGUAUCGAGAGAUA